GACGAACGCUGGCGGCGUGCUUAACACAUGCAAGUCGAACGGAAAGAGAUGAAAGAGCUUGCUCUUUUAUUAAUUUCAGUGGCAAACGGGUGGGUAACACGUAAACAACCUGCCUUAAGGAUGGGGAUAACAGACGGAAACGACUGCUAAUACCGAAUAUGUUCUAAGCAUCGCAUGGUGCAUAGAAGAAAGGGUGGCCUCUACAAGAAAGCUAUCGCCUUAAGAGGGGUUUGCGACUGAUUAGGUAGUUGGUGAGGUAACGGCUCACCAAGCCGACGAUCAGUAGCCGGUCUGAGAGGAUGAACGGCCACACUGGAACUGAGACACGGUCCAGACUCCUACGGGAGGCAGCAGUGGGGAAUCUUCCGCAAUGGACGAAAGUCUGACGGAGCAACGCCGCGUGAACGAAGAAGGUCUUCGGAUUGUAAAGUUCUGUGAUUCGGGACGAAAGGGUUUGUGGUGAAUAAUCAUAGACAUUGACGGUACCGAAAAAGCAAGCCACGGCUA
rnacentral:rRNA from 1 species